rnacentral:rRNA from 1 species
GAUGAACGCUGGCGGCGUGCCUAAUACAUGCAAGUCGAGCGAACAGACGAGGAGCUUGCUCCUCGGACGUUAGCGGCGGACGGGUGAGUAACACGUGGAUAACCUACCUAUAAGAGUGGGAUAACUUUGGGAAACCGGAGCUAAUACCGGAUAAUAUAUUGAACCGCAUGGUUUAAUAGUGAAAGACGGAUUUGCUGUCACUUAUAGAGGGCUCCGCUCCGCAUUAGCUAGUGGGUAAGGUAAGGGCUUACCAAGGGAACGAUCCUUAGCCAACCUGAGAGGGUGACCGCCACCCCGGGACCGGGACCACGCCCCGGACUCCUACGGGGGGAGGCGGAAGGGAAUCUUCCGCAUGGGGGGAACGCCUGACGGGGCAAGGCGGGGGGGUGGAUGAGGGUCUCGGGAUCGUAAGACUCUGUUAUUGGGGAGAAACAAAUGGGUAAGUAACUGUGCACGUCGUGACGGUACCUAAUCAGAAAGCCACGGCUAACUACGUG